rnacentral:rRNA from 1 species
UCCUUGUCAAAGCCUGAUCUCAUCAGAUCUCAGAAGCUAAACAGAGCUGAGCCUGGUUAGUACUAGGAUGGGAGACUCUGGAUUUCCAGGC